rnacentral:rRNA from 1 species
GUAAUGUCUGGGAAACUGCCUGAUGGAGGGGGGAGUAACUAUUGGAAACGAUAGCUAAGACCGCAUAGGUACGGACACUGCAUGGUGACCGUAUUAAAAGUGCCUCAAAGCACUGGUAGAGGAUGGACUUAUGGCGCAUUAGCUGGUUGGCGGGGUAACGGCCCACCAAGGCGACGAUGCGUAGCCGACCUGAGAGGGUGACCGGCCACAUUGGAACUGAGACACGGUCCAAACUCCUACGGGAGGCAGCAUG